AUUGAACGCUGGCGGCAGGCCUAACACAUGCAAGUCGAGCGGAUGAAGGGAGCUUGCUCCUGGAUUCAGCGGCGGACGGGUGAGUAAUGCCUAGGAAUCUGCCUGGUAGUGGGGGAUAACGUCCGGAAACGGGCGCUAAUACCGCAUACGUCCUGAGGGAGAAAGUGGGGGAUCUUCGGACCUCACGCUAUCAGAUGAGCCUAGGUCGGAUUAGCUAGUUGGUGGGGUAAAGGCCUACCAAGGCGACGAUCCGUAACUGGUCUGAGAGGGUGAUUAGUCACACUGGAACUGAGACACGGUCCAGACUCCUACGGGAGGCAGCAGUGGGGAAUAUUGGACAAUGGGCGAAAGCCUGAUCCAGCCAUGCCGCGUGUGUGAAGAAGGUCUUCGGAUUGUAAAGCACUUUAAGUUGGGAGGAAGGGCAGUAAGUUAAUACCUUGCUGUUUUGACGUUACCAACAGAAUAAGCACCGGCUAACUUCGUG
rnacentral:rRNA from 1 species